AGAGUUUGAUCAUGGCUCAGGACGAACGCUGGCGGCACGCCUAACACAUGCAAGUCGAGCGAGAAUUGUUUUAAGGAUUCUUCGGAAGAAUUAAAAUAAGGAAAGCGGCGGACGGGUGAGUAACGCGUGGGAAACCUGCCCUAUACAGGGGAAUAGCUCCGGGAAACCGGGAUUAAUGCCCCAUAAAACUCUAGUACCGCAUGGUACAUGAGUCAAAGCUUUAGCGGUAUAGGAUGGUCCCGCGUCCCAUUAGCUAGUUGGUAAGGUAAAAGCUUACCAAGGCGACGAUGGGUAGCCGGCCUGAGAGGGUGAACGGCCACACUGGAACUGAGACACGGUCCAGACUCCUACGGGAGGCAGCAGUGGGGGAUAUUGCACAAUGGGGGAAACCCUGAUGCAGCGAUGCCGCGUGAGCGAUGAAGGCCUUCGGGUCGUAAAGCUCUGUCCUUAGGGAAGAAUAAUGACGGUACCUAAGGAGGAAGCACCGGCUAACUACGUGCCAGCAGCCGCGGUAAUACGUAGGGUGCAAGCGUUGUCCGGAAUCACUGGGCGUAAAGGGUUCGUAGGCGGCCUAUCAAGUCAGGUGUGAAAGGCAUUGGCUCAACCAAUGUAAGCACUUGAAACUGGUGGGCUUGAGUACUGGAGAGGAGAGUGGAAUUCCUAGUGUAGCGGUGAAAUGCGUAGAUAUUAGGAGGAACACCAGUGGCGAAGGCGACUCUCUGGACAGUUACUGACGCUGAGGAACGAAAGCGUGGGGAGCAAACAGGAUUAGAUACCCUGGUAGUCCACGCCGUAAACGAUGAGUGCUAGGUGUUGGGGGCGACAGUCCUCAGUGCCGCAGCUAACGCAUUAAGCACUCCGCCUGGGGAGUACGGUCGCAAGACUGAAACUCAAA
rnacentral:rRNA from 1 species